UUUCCCUGUCGAGACUGCUCUGAAGAGCUCCACACUUGCUCAUGGUUCUCAUUAAAGAAGAUUCAUGUAAGGGCCAAUGGACACCUGAUCCCCUGCUGCCUUUGUUUGAAAUCCAAGAAGUUUCCUUGUGCCUGAUUUAACUGCCUGCAAUCUUUUCUAUCAUAAAAAACAAAACAAAACAAAACAAAACAAUGCUGAUUUCUGUCCAUUUUAACCCCUGUGUGAAACUGACUUUUAACAUACUUGUUGCGUUCUUUGAACCUCCAUGAAAGAUGUCUGAACCUGGCUCUUCAUCUGUAUUUUCGGGGUAACGUGGAGAAUGGAACUUUCCUUGAGCUCUUUCCUACAUCCCUGUCCACAUCGGUAGACCC
rnacentral:lncRNA from 1 species